rnacentral:misc_RNA from 1 species
CUCGUCAACCCCUUUCCCUCCCCAUUUUUACUCUGACUAACCACUAUUACCACCGGCGAGCCACCCAGACCAGACCCAUGGUGACUGGUGAACCUCCAGCAGCCUUGAACGACGGCCAAAGGUGCAGCAGCGGCAUGAAAAUGGAGGAGAGAGGGAGAGAAAUACGCGCGAGGCAGCAACUUCCAAGCCUCGUUCCGACGCUAUCUGAUGGUUGUUUCCGACAAGGCGGUGCUCAUUCAACUCCUGGCACAACAAGCUUCAAGACCCGACUAACCUUACCUCUAAUGGUGGCCGGAGAGAGAAGAUCCGGCGAGGCAAAGUUGAGAGAAAAUCAAAUGGGUUUCGCCGGUUUCUGGCCACUUUUCCAGCGAUCCGACCGUUGGAUCAGAAAUUCAAGAUCACCGAUGGACUCAAGGCGACAAAAUCUGCGAAAUGAGACCGGCCUCGCUCCGAUCGAACAUCGUUUGAAAAAGGCAAUUAUCGAACGGUCCAUAUUGUUUGGUGAGAAUUUUGAGCUUUUUUUAUUCCCAAAAAUUAAAAAUAAUUUCA